UACGUAGGGGGCAAGCGUUGUCCGGAUUUACUGGGCGUAAAGAGCGUGUAGGCGGCCACGCAGGUCCGUUGUGAAAACUGGAGGCUCAACCUUCAGACGUCGACGGAAACCGUAUGGCUAGAGUCCGGAAGAGGAGAGUGGAAUUCCUGGUGUAGCGGUGAAAUGCGCAGAUAUCAGGAAGAACACCAAUGGGGAAGGCAGCUCUCUGGGACGGUACUGACGCUGAGACGCGAAAGCGUGGGGAGCGAACAGG
rnacentral:rRNA from 1 species